AUCACCUCGGCAGCGCGGCCUUCAGCCGAUAGGGGAUCGCGGUGCCCCGGAGCUGUGGGUGGCCGGGCGCCGCCCGAAGGAGCCCUGAGGUGACCCGACCCCGUCGUGUGUGAAAGCCGAGCUGUGCCGUGCUGGGACAGCCAAGGAGGCAUCUCCAGGAGGGCACUGGAGCCUGCCGAGAGGAGAUGUGAAGGGAUAACCUGCCCGUGACGCACAGGGAGAGCUCUGGAGCAACGUUGAGUGAGGUAAAUUGUUGGUUUGGGGCUUGCUGGAGCAGCAGGAGUGGUCAGAAGUAAAGCUGUGGAUGCUGCUUUGAAGAUCCUUGUUAGAAAGGUAUUGGGAAGAUGGAAACCUGGAGCCCACAGUUUAAACGGGGCAGCUAGAGAAGAAUUUGUUUUCAGGAUGUGGAUGUAGGAAUUGGAAACAUCAAAGGUGUAUUAAAGGGCGAGGUAUAACAAGAAUUAUGUGUAAAAUUUAUUGUUAAUCUCCUCUCAGUGCUUGUUUAAAAUACAUUUUUAUAUGAACUCAAUUAAACGUAUUUAUAUUCAA